AUUUAUGUACAGCUUAAUAUUCAGACUUUCUAAGCAGUGUACAUACAACUUUUAAAAAAAUACAAAGAAUGAGAGCAAACUAUGUUAAAAUGCCUGCUGAAAUAGGAGAUUCUUGGUCAAGUGCCUGAAGUUCAAUAGGGAGGGAGCUCCACAGAGCUAGGCCCACAAUACUAAAUUCACAGCUUCUGGAAGUGAGGAGUGUGAUGUUCCUCUAUUAGUGUAAAUAUGGUAAGUGCUGUUUGUAUAGGAGAUACAUGGUAAGUGGAAUGAAAGAGGAGGGGGGAGUAAAUGAGCAGUAGAAUGCUGGAUGAUUGGCUGAAUGUUUAAAAUGGCUGACAGUAUAAAAUGAAGAAUGACAGUGGAAUCUGGGUGAUGAAAGUGAGUGGGUUGUUUUGGUGGGUUUGAGAGAGUUGUUUGUCAGGAGAGCGUGGAGAAGGAGGGGGUGGAGUUCGGAUUAGUAUUAGAUAAAACCAUAUGCUUAUGUGCCUUAUGAAGUAAUCUUGUUAUCUGUGUUAUUUAAUAAAUACUUAAUUUGGUUUACCAAAGACCUGAUCCUUGGGUGGGGUUUCACAGACCAGAAGGGAGGGUGAGGUAAAUAACCAAGGCUGAAGGGAAACAGGAGCAAAUGGUGGGAGCGGGUGAAGGGAAGAAUAUAACACCACAAGUAUUCAGAGCAAACCAGAAUUAUAAGCAGCCUGAGUAAAUCAAAGGGAUUGGGACAGCUUAAGCAUGCAGUCACAGAGGUAACCUAAUUGAGGGAGACUCAGGCAGAGUCUCUGGGAAUACUGGUUAUAGGACGUGACUGGUGGUGCUGCCUAGCAGGGGGAUCUGUUGAGAUCUGUGCUAGAGCGGGGAGAGAAACCAUAAAAAAGGACAGUCCGGACUGGUGGAGUCCCUGGUGGUGCCUAGUGACAGGCAGUAACCACGAGCAGGUAGGAACCUGACAGGGAGAGCCAGGGAAGGGCGUCACAAGGAGCUGUACAUCUGAACCAGGGGAACCUCUAGCAGAAACUUCCCUGAAGAUCUCAGUGACUGGGCAGGAAUCUAAGAGAUCAAGUGGUCCUUAAGUCCAUGGUAUGCGCAGAGCUCUCCUCCAGCACCACAUUUCAAAGGAGUUGAUUUUUCUCUUAUCCGCUUUUUUCACUGUCCAACUUUCACAUCCAUACACAGAGAUCGGGAAUAUCAUGGUCUGAAUGAUCCUGACUUUGGUGUUCAGUGAUACAUCUUUGCAUUUGAAUGUCAUCAGCUUAGGGGCUACUUUGGAUGAGAAGUUGUUGGGGCGUGGGCCACCUGACAGGGCUUCCCACAGUGGAAAAUGUUGCACUCCUUGCCCUCAGGUCUGGUUUUGGGCGGCACAGCAUCAGCUCAAUAGUUCUGGGUUCAACUGAUAUGUCCCUCAGGCACAGGGUCCUGUCAGAGUUCUCCUGACUUGAUGUAGCCGUGAAUUCCUCCACCACCCUUGAGGCACUGUAAAAGGCGAGUGAAAAGGCUGUCCUAAAAAGGAGCCCAGGGCGGCACUCCUUUUGUUCCCCAUGCUGGUGGCCAGCAUUUAACACAUGACCUCCUUUUGAAGUAUACCCCAAAACCUAAGCUUCCAGACACAUCAGACUGCACUUCGAUCUUGGUAUAUUAAACUUUAUCUGCACUAGAGGCGGCCAUUAUGUACCAAUGGCAAUAAAGCUGUUCAAGACUAAGUCUUUAACACAGCUUUUAUAUGGAGCACAACUUGGCCCCUAUCCCAGUUUUACACCUCUGGAAGCAGUACAAUCCAAUUAUUGAGGGCUGUCCUCCAAGUACCUCAUUGCGUCCCAAAUGUCUUACGAUUAGAGGCUAGCCUGCAAAAGGUUGAAACCAGGGUUUGGCUCGCUGUUUUCAAAUUCUGGCUGAAACUAAUAUUUUUUCCAACUGGUUUGGCCCCACUAACAUUACAGGAUGAGUUCCAGUCAUUAUGGAAACAAACCUUGCCUCAAAAGCUCCAACUAUAUGGUCUUUCCCUUGGGCUACCUUAUUUCCCAAGGAUAUGAUAUGGCUUGGUCAACAUCUAGGCAACACAUUGCUGAUAUCGACCACCAACAAGACUUGGGCUUGUCCUCUAACUAUGCCUCAAUCGAUAGAGCGCUACAAUUCAAUAAACCAGCAAAUUAUCUUUUUAUACUCUCGGUGCAAAAACAUCAAAAAGCUUUCACAUUGGCAAGUUUUAAUGUCCUUCCUUCUGCUGUCCUGGAGGGAAGAUUUCAAAACAUCCUCUACUAUGACUGUAAGUGCCCUUGUGACGCUGGAGAGGUGGAAACACGUCCUCCUACACUGCCCAUUCUAUUCUGAUCUACGAAGAUCUUUAAUUGUACCUCUGCUAUCGAAAACCCUAGGACGAUCAGAUGCAUUUCAUGUCCUACUUCUUUGUGAUCAAAAUACUUUUAUCACCUCCAGUGUUGCCAAAUUUUGUGCUGCAGCAAUCAAAAUUCGCCACGAACUGACUCUAGCCACCUUGUAAUUCUUGGUUGUU